AAUCUUCAGCAUCGCGAAACGUCACAGACGCCUGAAGAUUCAUUCUUCGACGAAAUUUCCUUCCUUCGAUAAAAAUACCUUCUUGGAAGGCCAGACAGUCAUACGCACUAACAUCUUCUCAAAACAUAUCCUUCGCAAACACUCGGAAUGAUAAUUUUUACCAUUAAGUUUGUUGCUGAUCACAACAAACUCUUAACGUCCUAAACAGACUUAGCCAUCUCGUAGAGAUGACUCUCGUACAUCCGACACAAGGAUAAUAGUGCUAUAAAAGAAACCCAAAAUUUUUGGUCAACACUUCCAGGAGGCUUAAAAUUUUUCCUAGGAGAGAUGCUCGGUUCCAACCAUACAAGUCGUAUAAGCCUCCCGCAAGUUUUCACACUGCAGAAAACUCUCGAAACAGAUUACAGAUAUAGUAGUUCACACCGAGUUAGAUUACGAGAUGACAACUCGUAGUCUUCCUUCAACACCCAUACAAAAUGCCAUCGGCAGCAAC
rnacentral:lncRNA from 1 species